AGUACAUCGGUUACGUUUAGCUCUCUGAUUCGGUUCUCUCUGUGGCAUGCACAUGUAAUCUCAAGCGCAUUGGAGUAGCACAAGACGAUGACGGUGACCACUCGCCUAAGACUUUUCGCUCAAAAUUCCCAUCAAACUACAGCACGCUCUUUGACCUGUUGGAGUUGACCAGCAUCCCAGCUGGCUGGAUUCAGCGAUUUGCUUAUAACAUUAUAUGGCAAUUGUCCCCGAGAGUCCAACGUUUGGAGAGGAAGAAGAAGAACCAUACAGAAACUAUGCGCCUCAUCGAAUACUUAGCCAAAGAAGGAUACUUCGAGUUCUUUGUGCGUGGAA